rnacentral:tRNA from 1 species
AGAGAAUUGGCAGAAGGUUAUGCAACUAGCUUGAAACUAGUAAUAUGCAGGUUUGAGUCCUGUAUUCUCUU